UGGGGAAUAUUGGACAAUGGGGGAAACCCUGAUCCAGCAAUGCCGCGUGAGUGAAGAAGGCCUUAGGGUCGUAAAGCUCUUUCGCCCGCGAAGAUAAUGACGGUAGCGGGAGAAGAAGCCCCGGCUAACUCCGUGCCAGCAGCCGCGGUAAUACGGAGGGGGCUAGCGUUGUUCGGAAUUACUGGGCGUAAAGCGUACGUAGGCGGAUGCGCAAGUUGGGGGUGAAAUCCCGGGGCUUAACCUCGGAAUUGCCCUCAAAACUGCACGUCUUGAGACCGAGAGAGGUAAGGGGAAUUCCUAGUGUAGAGGUGAAAUUCGUAGAUAUUAGGAAGAACACCAGUGGCGAAGGCGCCUUACUGGCUCGGUACUGACGCUGAGGUACGAAAGCGUGGGGAGCAAACA
rnacentral:rRNA from 1 species